AGUAAAUAAUAACUAUUUUUCAACCACAGGAAUGCUAAUUUGAAACUCAUUUUCCUUUCAUUUUUCGCUUUGUCUGUUGCUGCUAAGCUAAGAGUAAAAUUGCUAGGAAGAACUUGUAUCCACACCUAUUUCCUGUGGAAGCAUGUUUCCAGUUGAAAGAAAUAUCCCAAUUAGCUGGUCAGUCCAAUCUAAAUCCUACUCCUCUUAAGGGCCCUUCUUGCUUCUGAAUUCCUGCAAUUAAAGCUGCUCUUCCCAUGCCCACUGUCCAGUAAGCAGGGAGCUUCCUCCAAACUCUUCUGGAGCAGAUUCACACAACUGAAUGGUGCUGCAAGUGUGCACUAAGUCCUCCAAGGGCCAGUAUCAACAUGAGGGAAGCAACCUGCCUUUUGACAUGCAAGUUAACAGCCUUCUUCAAAUAUUCCGACUCUACCCUCCCCAGCUCUGCCUACAGGAACAACUGCAGUAAAAUACUGAAUAGGGAAAAUAACCCAAGAAUUUGUCCUGGCAAAGAACACAUCCAGAAGGAAACUGUGGGCAGCUCCUGGAGUUAUUCCAUUAGCCCAUAUUUGCUCCUGCAGCGGCGGAUCUGCCCACAGAACUCCCAUACUGAAGUUUGGUCCCACAUGGAAAUCUUAACAAAAUACUAAAAAUACAUUAAUGCCUACCAAGGGCUCGGAUUAAAGACAUAAGGAAGAAACUUCCUUCCCUAGUUUGACCCUCAGAUUAUUAUCCCCUACUGUCGUUUCAGGUAAGCAGCAGUGAUGUAGGAAGAGCUCCUCUAAGGACUGUGAAGAACGACUUCAGAGCCUUCAAGUUGUGUUCUCCUCUAUCCCUCCAGUUACAGGGAAUUAUGAGGGACUAAAUAUGACGGGCCAAUAGAUAAUACUUGGCUCUGAGCCUGGGAUUUAUUUAAUCCCUCAGCCUCUUUGGGAAAAUGCAGAUAUACUCCAGGAGCAAGGAAUUAUGAUGAUAUGGCUGCCUGUGAAUAUGUAUCAAAAAGGGCUGCAUUCAGAGUAUGAAAUAACAGGCGGAAGAAAAGCAAAGCACUGGGCAUUUUAUUUCUUCUCAAAACUGUUGUGGUAUGCAGAAUGUCACACUAAAUUUCCAGGACACCAAUUGAAGAUUCACUCGCACAGGUUUGAAGAAGCUGGUCAUCAGCCAAGUUAUGAAGCAGAAAUAACACAGGCAACAUACUGCACACGAGCAAUCAUUAUAAACGGCAUGUAAUAGAAAAAGAAGUAAAGUCCAUAAAGUAAGUCUUGGUUCCAAUUCAA